rnacentral:lncRNA from 1 species
CUGUGAGCCACAUAGACACGUUGUCUUUUAUAACUCCAUUCCCUAAACUCACACAGUAAUUGGUACAGAUUACACACUCAAUAAAUGCAUAUAAAACACAUAAAAUAGGGAUUAUGGCACACCUUCUAAGAGGUUGUUUGCUUUUGGAAGAGGGCUGCGCCUGAGGCUGGCUGGCUGUUUCAUUCCUAGGUUUGCAUCAACUAUCACCCUCUAGCUAAUGACAGGAAGCCCUUCAUCCUGGGCCUACCAGGACUAUCUGUCAUCUCAACCACAUAGCAAAUGCUUUUUCAUCUCUUGAUGGAACUGUUAACUUGUUAGGGAAUAUAUAUGUAUUUUUAAGUCAGAGAUCAGAGAGUGGUUUAUUUGGUGACUUAGGCUGGGAUGUUGGGAACAUCCCAGAAAAUCCUUAAAAAUAGGGCAAAGGAGAAUGAAAUUAGAUUAGGCUAUGGCCAUUAUUCCUUGCCUAGAAGAGAGAAGGCUAGAAAGAGAUCUGAAAUUUGUCAGGCAUAGAGUGAGAAAGUGGAAGCAAGGGGAUAAGAAGGGUGGCAAGAGUAGAAAAAAGAUAACAAAGAUCCAUAUGGGAAGAAUGGGCAUUCUCCAACACCAUCAGGCCCAAGGACAGAGAAGAGAAGGAAAGUUUGAGUCCCAUCUAGUGCUUGAUGCCUGCUAAGUGCCUACCAAAUUAAGUGCAAAUGCUUUAGCCUGCCAUUCGAAACUCUCUACAUAAUGUCCAGAUCUCACCCGUCAGCCACACUUUCCAUUACCCCGUGUGUACUGCAUCACUUAAUAUUUGUCCUCGCUGAUCUGGAUCAUUGCUAACAAUGUCCUAUUGACCUGGACUGUCAUCUUGUCUGAUCUCCUUCUAUAAAAAUCCUACCAACCCUUCAAGGCUCUUUCAAAAUGCCCUACUUCCUUGAAGGCUUUUUUCUUUUUCCUUCAAUGGAUGCCUGGUUCUGCUCCUUUGUAGAGAAUACGCUUUUGCGACUUUUAUCUUCAAGUCUAGUUAUUUGUGUACUUGAUUCCUUUUAUUCAACUGAAAAUGUCACUUGCUUUUCUGUCUCUUUCCAUUUCCUGGAGCAGAGUCCCAAAAUGCAGAUCAACGCCCAAGACAUUUAUUGGAUAAGGUACAUAGUAGGUGUAUAUAUUUAUGAAUUACAUGGGAUACUUUGAUGCCGC